GCGAGCGUAGCCAAGUGGUUAAGGCAGUGGUUUGUGGUACCACCAUUCCGCGGGUUCAAGUCCCGUCGUUCGCC
rnacentral:tRNA from 3 species